GUCAGGACAACCAUAGGAUUCACUAGGAAGUGAAUCAUGUUUCUUCCAAAGCCCAACCUGGAGGUAAAAUAAAUUCAAAAAAUCUUAAAGAAACAGUUACACAAAUAAAUUCAUAAAUACUCGAUUCCAAAAAAAAAAUAAAAAAUCGUAUAUGCAACUCUUAAAUUUAAUUUAUCACUGCAGGUUUGGGGCCUGUCACUCUUUCCCGGCCAUACGUUUCUACUGGCAUUUCAUGCAGAUGCUUGCGAGACCGUCCAGGUCACGGCUCCGAUAUUUUCAUCUAUGAUUAAUUCCGUUGCCUGCCAUGUCUUCGGGCUUACGUUUUAAUUCAGAUACGUUGCCUGUAACGUCAUCCAGGUUACGUACGUACUCUGAGUAUUUUUGUUGCCUGUUACGUCCUACAGGCUCACGUAUUCAAUUAGAUAAUUUUCUGUUGCCUGCCAUGGUCUUCGGUCUUACGUUUAACUUAAUAUGCUGCCUGUAACGUCAUCCAGGUUCACGCAUAAGUCUGUGUAUAAUUUUGUUGCCUGUUACGUUAGGUUUACGUUUUUAAUUCAAUAAUCUCUGUGGCCUGCUACGUUGCCGGCCUCGCGUUUUUAACUUAACGUGAUGCCUGUCACGUCAACCAGGUGUACGUUUUUAACUAAGUAUAAUUUCUUGCCUGUUACGUUCUGCAGGUUUACGUUUCUUAAUUAAUUAAUUCAGGUUGCCUGCCACGUUGUUGGGCUUACUUUUUUAUUUUAUAUGUGGCCUGUCACGUCAUCCAGGUUUACGUUUUUAACUGAUUAUAAUUUGUUGCCUGUUACGUUAUGCGGGCUUACGUUUUUAUUGUAAUAUGUGGCCUGUCACGUCAUCCAGGUUUUCGUUUUCAACUGAAUAUAAUUUGUUGCCUGUUACGUUAUGCGGGCUUACGUUUUAUUUUAAUAUGUGGCCUGUCACGUCAUCCAGGUUUACGUUUUUAACUGAUCACAAUCUGUUGCCUGUUACGUUAUGCGGGCUUACGUUUUCAUUUUAAUAUGUGGCCUGUCACGUCAUCCAGGUUUACGUUUUUAACUGAUCACAAUCUGUUGCCUGUCACGUUAUGCGGGCUUACGUUUUUAUUUUAAUAUGGGGCCUGUCACGUCAUCCAGGUUUACGUUUUUAACUCUGAUCAUAAUUUUGUUGCCUGUUUCGUUAUGCGGGCGUACGUUUUUUGGAUCAAUCAUUCUGUUGCCUGUUUGUUUUCAAGCUUACGCAUAAAAAAAAAAAAAAAAAAAAAAAAAUUUUUGUACCUCUCUCCCAGCCUCAUGUGUACUAACAUCAUCGUCCUGUACACUUCAGGUCCGGGGCCAGUUGUGAUUGCUCCUUUGUUUUUCCAGGGUCAUUCUUCAGGUACCUUCUAGUUAUUAUUACUUCGGUGCGCACCUCUUUUCACAGUACACUCUCUCCACGGUUAAGUCACGUCAUGAUCACCAGCUGUCGCUUUCUUUUCAGGUCAACAGUAUGUCCCAUCUAUCAGACCACGAGGAUUCCGUAUCCAUCCCUGACUCUUCCGUUUCCGCCCACGGCAGCACCAUGUCACUCAGGAGUUGGACCAUUCCAAAAUUAAUCAAAGAGCUCAACAGCCGAGGGAUUUGUUACCCUGCGUCGGCUCGGAAGGCUGAGCUAUACCGACUCCUGGUGUCCGAGCCCAUGGCCCCUCCAGCGGAUCAAGUGCCCAUGUCAACUAUUCAGCUAUCAUUGGCACAGUUGCAUGCCACGAUCAAUAACAUUGCCACUUCGGUCUCGGAUAUGCAGACCAGACUGGUUGCGGUAGAAUCCAGAGGGCUGUCAACUAGUCCCUCCGUCCCUCCGGUUCCUUUGGUCACUGCUUCAUGUUCCCAUUCCCCAGGUAGGGCUUCAUUCACACCUGAGGUAGCUCCGGCACACUUUGUCCCAGAUAACAUUAGAAGGGAUAUUCUAGACGGCAGGGACGUAAAUUUAGCUAGCAUCCUCAUUGCUACCCAUGACACCAUCGACAAUAGGACCAUUGCGUGCGGCGACGUUUCCAUCAUUCUAAAAGCCAGGGACGUCCGCCUCAAAAAAAAAUUAUCCAUCCCCGAAUUUGUCCUGGCCUUCAGCUUAUAUAGGGAUAUCAUCUGCUCCGCCUGCCCUGGAAGACGGGAGGAACUGGACACCUACCUGUACAGGGUCACGGAUCUGGGCCACAAGUAUGGCGGCCACGCCUUCUAUGAUUACCAUCGCUCGUUUUCAGCCAAGGCGGCCGCCACUCUGGCCCAGUUCCACCACACCACCAAUUGGGCAUCCAUGGACAUGGAGCUCUUUUGUCGCCAUUUUGCUGGUCUCAGGGCGCCAGCUUGUGCGUCGUGCAAUUCCAUUCUCCACUCGUCAGAUUGGUGCCCCAACGUACUCCCUCCCGUCUCCCAGGGCAGGUUACUCCCCAGCGCCUCUAGUUUCGCACAAAGACCCACUCCAUCCACGGACAAAUUAGGCCGCCCCAUAGUUUUCCUGGGUAAUAGUCAAUUGUGCAACAAUUACAACUUGGCCAUAUGUAAUUAUAAUAAAUGUCGAGCCCUGCACAUUUGCUCUGGUUGCUUUAGAGCCCACCCCAUCACAACAUGCCCUCAGCGUUCCUCCAGGACCCCCUGACUAGUCGGAGUCAACGUACAUCUCCUGGCAACUCUCCUACACAACCAUCCCAAUCCCCGUUUUGUUCAGUUUCUCACGGUAGGGUUUUCAGAGGGUUUUCACACGGGUCUGGUCGCACUUCCCCAGUCCACCUGGGAGGGUCCCAAUCUCCUCUCAGCAGCCAAGGAUCCCGACUCAGUAGGAGGCCUCAUACAAUCUGAGCUGGAGAAGGGAUUCCUCAUAGGGCCUUUUUCCACUGUCCCCUUUGAUUCUUGGAGGGUCAGCCCUAUCGGCAUUGUGGCAAAAAAAUUCUCAAAUAAAAAACGUCUCAUUUAUGACCUUUCUGCGCCUCAUGGUUCCAACAUCCCGAGUUUAAAUUCUCUGAUCCCCUCCGAAGAGUUCUCCAUGAGGUACUCCUCAGUGGAUGAAGCCAUACAACUCAUUCUCCAGGUAGGCAGAGGGGCUUGGCUAUCCAAGGCGGAUAUCGCAGACGCGUUUAAAUUGCUCCCCAUUCACCCGCAGCUCUGGAGGUGGUAUGGCAUUAAAUGGCAAAAUAUUUAUUAUUUUGCUAGCCAUCUGACCUUCGGAUCCAAGAGCAGCCCCUGGCUGUUUGACCAAUUCGCGCAGGCUCUGCAUUGGAUUCUAGUCAACUGCUGCGAUUGCCCGCUGGUCAUCCAUUACCUGGAUGAUUUCCUGUUGGUUGAAUCCCCAGGCAACAGACCCAGCAAGCUCAGGUCCCUUCUCCGGGUCUUCUCUGAGCUCAAUGUUCCCGUCGCCUCUUCAAAGGUAGAAGGCCCUUCGACGGUAAUUACCUUUCUAGGGAUUGUGUUGGACUCCGUUAAAAUGCAAGCUAGGCUUCCGGAGGAGAAGCUUGCCAAAAUCCGGGAAGAGAUCUCCAAGGCAGCAGGCUCCAGGCGUUUCACUAAAAUUGAGUUGCAAUCUUGCUGGGUAUGUUGAACUUUGCUACUAGGAUCAUGCCGCAGGGCAGAGCUUUCACCUCCCGGUUGCUACAGCUGCUUCCAUCAGCCCCCGAGCAGGAUAGUCUCAUCUGCCUAGACAGCCAAGCGAUUGCGGAUUUAGCAAUGUGGGACACGUUCCUCGCCAGCUGGAACGGUGUCUCCAUGUUUGUUCCACUAUGGGGUCCCACAUCAGCUACGAUCUUCACGGACGCCGCGGCCUCUGCAGGUUACGCAGCAAUCAGCGGGAAUCAGUGGUUCGCUGGUCCCUGGCCCCCAGAGGUGUCUUCUGCGCAGCAAGCUUUAAAAUGUUCCCCUUUACUAGAGGUGUACCCCAUUGUAGCAGCAGCUCAAGUUUGGGGCAGUCAAUGGGCCAAUUCAUCUGUAGUUUUUGUCACGGAUAAUCAGGCGGUAGUAGACAUAAUCGCCAAAGGCAGAUCGAAAUCGCCAUUCAUCAUGUCAUUUGUCCGUAGGUUGGUCUGGCUUUCCCUCCGUCACAAUUUUCAUGUCACUUGCAGGCAUAUCCAGGGCAAACAAAAUAUCGCCGCAGACACCUUGUCACGUUUUCGUUUUCAUGAUUUUUUCCAGGCAAUGCCGGAGGCGGACCAAGUGGGUCUAUCCCCUCCUGCGUUCCAAACUCUGAUUUUGGAUUAAAAUCGUUCAUUGAUUCAGCAAAAAGUCUUGUGAGAAAUUCUUUAUCGGUCAACACGUCCAGGAACUAUAGAACAGGCUGGAAUGUGUUCCACAAAUUCAUGCUCCUGCACCCAAGACAUGAUACCGGCAAGACUGCAUACAUCAUGGCUUUCUUGGCAUACUGCCAUUUGGAGCUCAAACUGUCCUACAACUCCAUAAAGCUAUACCUGGCCGGGGUACAGCAUUUCCUCUCAUUAGAAGAUCCGGACUGUAGGUCGAUUUUCCUGUCACAACCGAUAAAAGCCACCCUUAGGGGCAUUCAAAAAGGUAGCAGGGGUCCAAGCUCUCUCAGACAGCCGGUGUCAGGAGAACUCUUCAGGAAGUUAUCCACCUCCCUAGAUGGUAAUCCUUUUGGGCUCCUUGCUAGUACCGUGAUCAAAGCGGCCAUGUACCUCAGCUUUUAUGGUUUCUUGCGGCCAGGGGAAUUCACCAGCUCCUCUGCCAAAGCCAAAGGCUUAACUAGGGGCCAGCUGGUCCAGCAGGGCGAUCAGUUCAUCCUGUACCUCGCUUCGUCCAAGACAUCCCAAGUCGGUCCACCAGUGGGGAUCAGGUACUUCCCCACUUUCAACGAAUGGUGCCCGGUCCGGGUCCUCCAGCAGCUCCUGGCAGUGUUGGGCGAUCCGGCCAGAGACAGCCCGUUGCUUCCCUUCAAAGUCAGAUCCAUCACGUCAUCCCAGUUCAUUUCGCACAUCCGUUCCCUAGUGGCGGGUUUAGGUCAUGAUCCAAAAACCAUUUCGGGGCAUUCCUUCCGCAUUGGGGCUGCAUCCGCAGCAUCAAAGCAUAAUGUCCCAGCUCACAUCAUCCAAAAAAUGGGUCGCUGGCACUCUGCAUGCUACGGGCGGUACAUUCCGAAUCCACACCGAGAGAUAUCCAAGGCCUUCUGUAGUCUGGUUUUAUGAUGUUUUGCAUGAACAAUAAACUCCCUUUUUCACACUACCUGGCUUGUUCUUUGCCCCCUUAUAGGCCUACCCGCGUUCAUGGCUAAGGGCACACCACCAGCCAUUAAGUCCAGGUAUGAGGCUCAUAACGGAAUAGCUGUCUAUGCAACUUGGACCACGAUUGCAUGUCUACUAAACUUUGCAGUGGCUUUGACGUACGGUGACUACAUUCCCAAUAGCAUCUCCACCACAGUC